UUCAAAUUCCUCUUUGUUGGUGAUGGGAAAAGAGGAUGGAAGCCAUAUGGACAGACUCAGAGGAGAGGGUAAAGUGACCAGGAGAAGCCCACAGAGAUCUUUCCCAAAGGAUGAGUGAGAUGAAACUGAAGGAAUGAACUCCCAUUGCCUUCUUCCUUCUGUGGACAGUGAAUACACAGACUUAAAAAAAAAUACAAAAAAAAGAUGUGUUUUGCUUGAAGUGAUGGUGCCUCCAAAUGCCCCCAUGAAGUCAGUUUUCCAGAUUAAAGCAUCAGGUAUGUAGAAACCAAAGCAGCUCCAGAAGCUGCUGAACAGCAAAAGGUAUGGCUGUGAGAAUCCGCUGUGUCACUGCAUGAGAGUUCAUUCUUCUGGUUUGCAAGACAAAUGCUGGGUCUGAAGGGAAUCAUUACAUACAGCCAAACAGGAGAAAAGAGAAAGCUAUAUCUGCCCUGCGUACAUGUAUGAGUACUGACCAUGUAAGCACCUGCUUGAAAUGCC
rnacentral:lncRNA from 1 species